UACGAGAGGCCCAAACGUUAUUCGGAAUUACUGGGCUUAAAGAGUUCGUAGGUGGCAUGAAAAGCAGGGUGUGAAAGCCCUCGGCUCAACCGAGGAAUUGCGCUCUGAACUGUCGUGCUUGAGGAACCUAGAGGUGAGCAGAACUGAUGGUGGAGCGGUGAAAUGCGUUGAUAUCAUCAGGAAUACCGGAGGCGAAGGCGGCUCACUGGGGGUUUCUGACGCUGAGGAACGAAAGCCAGGGGAGCGAACGGG
rnacentral:rRNA from 1 species